rnacentral:rRNA from 1 species
GACCAAAGAGGGGGACCUUCGGGCCUCUUGCCAUCAGAUGUGCCCAGAUGGGAUUAGCUAGUAGGUGGGGUAACGGCUCACCUAGGCGACGAUCCCUAGCUGGUCUGAGAGGAUGACCAGCCACACUGGAACUGAGACACGGUCCAGACUCCUACGGGAGGCAGCAGUGGGGAAUAUUGCACAAUGGGCGCAAGCCUGAUGCAGCCAUGCCGCGUGUAUGAAGAAGGCCUUCGGGUUGUAAAGUACUUUCAGCGGGGAGGAAGGGAGUAAAGUUAAUACCUUUGCUCAUUGACGUUACCCGCAGAAGAAGCACCGGCUAACUCCGUGCCAGCAGCCGCGGUAAUACGGAGGGUGCAAGCGUUAAUCGGAAUUACUGGGCGUAAAGCGCACGCAGGCGGUUUGUUAAGUCAGAUGUGAAUCCCCGGGCUCAACCUGGGAACUGCAUCUGAUACUGGCAAGCUUGAGUCUCGUAGAGGGGGGUAGAAUUCCAGGUGUAGCGGUGAAAUGCGUAGAGAUCUGGA